UGGGGAAUAUUGGACAAUGGGCGCAAGCCUGAUCCAGCCAUGCCGCGUGAGUGAUGAAGGCCUUCGGGUCGUAAAGCUCUGUGGGGAGGGACGAAGAGCCUUUUGGAUAAUACCCAAGAGGUCUGACGGUACUUCCUUAGCAAGCACCGGCUAACUCCGUGCCAGCAGCCGCGGUAAUACGGAGGGUGCAAACGUUGCUCGGAAUCAUUGGGCGUAAAGCGCACGUAGGCGGUCUUGUAAGUCGGAUGUGAAAGCCCUCGGCUCAACCGAGGAAGUGCAUUCGAAACUGCAAGGCUUGAGUAUGGAAGAGGGUCUCGGAAUUCCCGGUGUAGAGGUGAAAUUCGUAGAUAUCGGGAGGAACACCAGUGGCGAAGGCGGAGACCUGGGCCAAUACUGACGCUGAGGUGCGAAAGCGUGGGGAGCAAACAGGAUUAGAUACCCCCGUAGUCC
rnacentral:rRNA from 1 species